rnacentral:piRNA from 1 species
UGCCACUACUGGCCUUAUUGUGUCAGGGCU